CCUACGGGAGACAGCAGUGAGGAAUAUUGGUCAAUGGUCGGGAGACUGAACCAGCCAAGCCGCGUGAGGGAUGAAGGUACAGAGUAUCGUAAACCUCUUUUGUCAGGGAACAAAGGCGGGGACGUGUCCCCGGAUGAGUGUACCUGAAGAAAAAGCAUCGGCUAACUCCGUGCCAGAAGCCGCGGUAAUACGGAGGAUGCGAGCGUGAUCCGGAUGUAUUGGGUGAAAAGGGUGCGCAGGCGGUCUGUAAAGUCAGCGGUCAAAGCCCGGGGCUCAACCCGGGCCCGCCGUUGAAACUGGCAGGCUCGAGUGGGAGAGAAGUAAGCGGAAUGCGCGGUGUAGCGGUGAAAUGCAUAGAUAUCGCGCAGAACUCCGGUUGCGAAGGCAGCAUGCCGGAUCGAAACUGACGCUGAGGCACGAAAGCGUGGGUAGCGAACAGGAUUAGAUACCCCAGUAGUC
rnacentral:rRNA from 1 species